CCUACGGGAGGCAGCAGUGAGGAAUAUUGGUCAAUGGGCGGAAGCCUGAACCAGCCAAGUAGCGUGCAGGAUGAUGGCCCUACGGGUUGUAAACUGCUUUUAUACGGGAAUAACGCGCCUUACGUGUAGGGCUUUGCAUGUACCGUAUGAAUAAGGACCGGCUAAUUCCGUGCCAGCGGCCGCGGUAAUACGGAAGGUCCGGGCGUUAUCCGGAUUUAUUGGGUUUAAAGGGAGCGUAGGCCGCAUGUCAAGCGUGCUGUGAAAUGUCCGGGCUCAACCCGGGCCUUGCAGCGCGGACUGGCGUGCUUGAGUCCGCAGAACGCAGGCGGAAUGCGUGGUGUAGCGGUGAAAUGCUUAGAUAUGACGAAGAACACCGAUUGCGAAGGCAGCUUGCUGCAGCGGAACUGACGCUGAUGCACGAAAGCGCGGGUAUCGAACAGGAUUAGAUACCCUGGUAGUC
rnacentral:rRNA from 1 species